GUUAAAACGAAGAAGAGGAAAAGUAAUCAAUGUUUGACUUCUACAGAGAGCCGUGAUGCUGAAAUGCGGUGUUGUCAACUUUGAUGAAGCUCGCCUCUGAGUGUCAUUCUGAACGAUGUUUGUUUAGUAGGAGUGGCCGGGUGUUCACAGCACUCGUUAUUAAAAUGUGAUAAGUGGAAACUUAUCCGUUAAGAUUGAACAAUUAUGUUCAAUGAAUAAGGGUGGUACCGUGGAAAGUGAAAAUCUUUUCGCCCCUUCU
rnacentral:ncRNA from 1 species